AGAGUUUGAUCAUGGCUCAGAUUGAACGCUGGCGGCAGGCCUAACACAUGCAAGUCGAGCGGUAGCACAAGAGAGCUUGCUCUCUGGGUGACGAGCGGCGGACGGGUGAGUAAUGUCUGGGAAACUGCCUGAUGGAGGGGGAUAACUACUGGAAACGGUAGCUAAUACCGCAUAACGUCUUCGGACCAAAGUGGGGGACCUUCGGGCCUCACGCCAUCAGAUGUGCCCAGAUGGGAUUAGCUAGUAGGUGGGGUAAUGGCUCACCUAGGCGACGAUCCCUAGCUGGUCUGAGGGGAUGACCAGCCACACUGGAACUGAGACACGGUCCAGACUCCUACGGGAGGCAGCAGUGGGGAAUAUUGCACAAUGGGCGCAAGCCUGAUGCAGCCAUGCCGCGUGUGUGAAGAAGGCCUUCGGGUUGUAAAGCACUUUCAGCGAGGAGGAAGGGUAGUGUGUUAAUAGCACAUUGCAUUGACGUUACUCGCAGAAGAAGCACCGGCUAACUCCGUGCCAGCAGCCGCGGUAAUACGGAGGGUGCAAGCGUUAAUCGGAAUUACUGGGCGUAAAGCGCACGCAGGCGGUUUGUUAAGUCAGAUGUGAAAUCCCCGCGCUUAACGUGGGAACUGCAUUUGAAACUGGCAAGCUAGAGUCUUGUAGAGGGGGGUAGAAUUCCAGGUGUAGCGGUGAAAUGCGUAGAGAUCUGGAGGAAUACCGGUGGCGAAGGCGGCCCCCUGGACAAAGACUGACGCUCAGGUGCGAAAGCGUGGGGAGCAAACAGGAUUAGAUACCCCGGUAGUCCAA
rnacentral:rRNA from 1 species